rnacentral:ncRNA from 1 species
AUAGUCUUGGUCCUAGACUUACCGUUGUUUUUUUAUCAAAAUUAUACAUGCAAGUUUCAACACACCAGUGAAAAUGCCCUAAACCCUUAAAAAGGCCAAUGGAGCAGGCAUCAGGCACUGUAACUCAAGCCCACAACGCCUUGCUUUGCCACACCCCCACGGGCUAUCAGCAGUAAUUAACAUUGGGCCAUAGGUGUAAGCCUGACCCAGUUAUGAUUUAUAGGGCUGGUCAAUUUCGUGCCAGCCACCGCGGUUAUACGAAAAGCCCAAAACAACUAUUAACGGCGUAAAAUGUGACUAGAGAUUUCUUAAUAUUAAAAACACUAAAACCCAUAACCCAGUUGUAAAACACUCAGGUAAUGAAGAAAACCAACAAGUAUUUUUAAUACUACAUUCUUGACCACACGAAAGCUUAGAAACAAACUAGGAUUAGAUACCCUACUAUGCUAAGCCAUAAACAUUGAUUAGCCAUUAUACAACUUUUCCGCCAGAGAACUACAAGUGAAAAACUUGAAACUCAAAGGACUUGACGGUGUCCCAUAUCGACCUAGAGGAGCCUGUCCUAUAAUCGAUACUCCACGUUUCACCCAACCCCAACUAGCACAAUAACAGCCUAUAUACCGCCGUCGACAGCCUACCCUAUGAGGGUCUAACAGUAGACAUAAUAGCCCUACCGCUAGUACGUCAGGUCAAGGUGUAGCAUAUGUUGGGGAAGAGAUUGGCUACAUUUUUUAUAAUAAAAAACACGAAAAGUACUAUGAAAUUGUACAUGAAGGUGAAUUUAGUAGUAAAAUAGAUAAGAGUGUCUAUUUUAACAACGCUCUGGGACGUGUACACACCGCCCGUCACCCUCCUCAAACAACACAAUCUACCUCCAUAAACCAAAAAAGUUAUAUAGAGGAGGCAAGUCGUAACACGGUAAGCGUACCGGAAGGUGUGCUUGGUCUAAC